rnacentral:rRNA from 1 species
UACAGAGGUCUCAAGCGUUGUUCGGAUUCAUUGGGCGUAAAGGGUGCGUAGGUGGCGGGGCAAGUUUGGUGUGAAAUCCUAGGGCUCAACCCUGGAACUGCACUGAAUACUGCUUUGCUAGAGUACUGGAGAGGGAACUGGAAUUUACGGUGUAGCAGUGAAAUGCGUAGAUAUCGUAAGGAAGACCAGUGGCGAAGGCGAGUUCCUGGACAGUUACUGACACUGAGGCACGAAGGCCAGGGGAGCAAACGGG